rnacentral:lncRNA from 1 species
UGCAUCAGGCUCCAUUCUCAACAUGGAUCCGGCUUAAGACUCUCUCUCUCUCUCUCUUUCCCCCUCUGCCCUUUUCCCUCACUCACAGUCUCACUCGUUCUCUCUCUAAAAUAAAAAUAAAAAAUUUAAAAGUCACCCAAAAGCAAGUCUUGCAAUUUUAAAGAUUUUUGCCUUUAAGGGAUAUGAACCAGCCAUUUCCAACUUCGUAAAAAGGACCUGUGCUGUUCUCAUCUGAGCGUGCCUCUUCAGGGUAUUGACUGCUUCCCGCAAAUCACCAGCAGUUGAACUCAUGAAGUAUCCUCACUGCACAACAGAACAGGAUGUACUGGCCAGAAACCUCCCCUCAACUUCAGGUGGGGCUGCAGAACAUCUCUUCCUGAACAACCAACCGGAUCAGUCAAACUCCGCCUGUUCCAGACAGUAUGGAGAAUCUGCUCCCUUCCAGUUAUCUCCCCGCCUUCACCCUUACUUCAAUUGUCUCACCUAUCCUCCCAGUGUUGGUAAAGAUGCCUUCCAGCUCGAUUCUUCGUUCCUGUCAGCCAUCGCCACAAGCUGGGCCCUCCCGGUUCCCGUACUCCACCUGAGAAACGGGAUACUGGAUCCAGGAGAACUUCUCGUUUGUUACACUGUCUUCACCAGGGCAGGUGGCUAAUACACUUAAUGCAGUUUGGCUUUCUUUCUUUCUUUCUUUCUUCUUUCUCCUCUCUCUCUCUUUGAAGGAAUAUAUGCCCCACCAAAAGCCUUGCUUCUACCCAUAUCCACAUCUCUUAACCUACCUAACUGAAUUUAGGCCUAUGUUAUAAGGCUGAAAUAAAAG